rnacentral:lncRNA from 1 species
GUGACUGAAUUGGGGAAGCAUGUAGUGGGGGUUUGGGUGGACGUGCGAAGAAGGAACAGGGAAUGGGUGAGGAUCAGGAGGGAUGGGAGGUGGAUGAACAGUAUAUGGAUGAGGUUGAUUGGGCGAUGGGUGGGGAAUUGGGUUAAGCCGAGGAAGAACGGAUAGAGGAGGAUGGAGGCGAGACAUACUAUGGGUCAAGGGUGGGGCUACAGUCGUGACCGACCCAUACCCCUGUUCGCAGUGCCCACUGGGCCAGUCGGCUCCUUCGCCGGC